rnacentral:lncRNA from 1 species
GAGAGUUGGGUCUCUGAAUGAUGUUGAAAGGAGGGAGUUUCUUGGUUCAAAUGCUAUUAUAGAUGACAAGAGUCGAUGGAAAGAAGAAAAGCUUGAACCUUUGUGGGAUGAUGGAUAUGGAACUCAGAGUGUGAAAGAUUACCUUGAUUUAGCCAAAGACUUCAUUAAACCCGAUGGUGGACCUCCCAGAUGGUUUUGCCCUGUUGUUGCAGAUGGGAAUGAAACUCCUUUACCCAAUUCACCUGUUCUUCUGUUUUUACCAGGUAAUUUCUUGUUUCUCUUCAGAAGAUUCAGUAUGUAUACACAUAUACAUAUAGUUUUCUAUUAAUGUGUUUGAACUUGGUGAUGUAUGUAGGGAUGGAUGGGCUUGGUUUAGGUCUCAUUUUGCACCACAAAUCUCUUAAAAAGUGAGUGAAAUCUUUUGCUAUUGUUGACAUGUUACCUAAUCAUCAUAUAAGACAUAUUUCACCUUAUUAUAAAGAUCUAUUCUUAUAAUCUUAUUACAGGGUGUUUGAAGUUCGAUGCUUACACAUCCCAGUUCAAGAUCGAACGCCAUUUGAAGGUCUUAUGUUAAUCAAAUAACUUAUUCACCUCCCUACAUUUAAAUGGUUCAUAAAUUAAAUCAUUUUUACUUUGUAUAUGAAGAUUUGGUGACAUUUGUGGAGGAAACCUUGAAGUUUGAGCAUGCUUUAUUUCCAAAUAGGCCGAUAUAUCUUGUUGGAGAUUCUUUUGGAGGCUGUUUAGCUCUUGCAGUUGCUGCACGUAAUCCAGCUAUAGAUCUUGUAGUUAUACUCUCAAAUCCAGGUCAGUUUUUUCUAAAAAAAUUAACUAUCAUCCAUAAUUUUUUAUUUUUUUUUAAAACAACUUAUUUAAAUUAUCUAUUUCAGCAACUUCAUUUGACAGGUCACAACUGCAGCCUUUGUUUCCUGCUUUAGAGGUCAUGCCUGAUACACUUCAUGUCACAAUCCCUUAUCUUCUUAGCUUUGUUAUGGGUAUGUACAUCAUACAUCAUACAUCAUACAUCAUCUGUUUCUUUUAGAUGCUAUGGUUAAUAACUAUGGUUAAUUAUCUAACAUUGUUAAAUCUUGUUAUCGUAUCAGGUGAUCCUUUAAAGAUGGCAAUGGUGACUGCUGAAACCUCACUUACUCCAAAUGUUGGGAAAGUAGCUGACAAUCUUACUGCUUUGCUUCCUCGCCUUUCGGUAGGGAUUAUCUAAAUGACCAUUUUACCCUUGCAAUCACCAAACAGCUUUUGUAAUGUUCAUCCGUUUUAUAUUUGAUUCCAGGGGUUGUCUGAUAUUAUUCCAAGAUCAACACUUUUAUGGAAGCUGAAAUUACUGAAAUCUGCUGCUGCAUACACUAAUUCUCGGCUUCAUGCUGUUAAAGCUGAAGUUCUAGUUCUUGCAAGGUUAGUUUCAUUUGGGAUUUAUUUAUUUAUUUAUUUUUUAAAUACAAACUUAUAAUCUAAUUUACAUAAAGAAGCAUAAAUUAUAUACUUGUGUUUUAGUGGAAAAGAUAACAUGCUUCCAAGUAGCAAUGAAGCUCAAAGGCUUUCAAAAACGUUGCAAAACUGCAAGAUAUGUUACUUUAAGGACAAUGGCCACACUCUUUUACUGGUACUUAAUAAUUUUCUAUUUUUCUUUUAUUCUUUAUGAUUUUCUUUUAUGAUUUUCUUUUAUAUAACUAAUCAAAUCCAAAUUUCUUGUUCUUUCAGGAAGAUGGUAUGAAUUUGUUAACAAUAAUCAAAGGAAGAUUAAAAUACCGAAGAACAUGGAAACAUGACUUUGUAAAAGACUUCAUACCCCCUAGCAUGUUAGAGUACAAAAGUGCCCUUGGAGGAAACGGGUAAUAUUUCUUUUAUUAUUUAUAGUUUAUACACGAAUGAAAAAGUUUUUAAUUGCAUGAUAAUAUAAAAAAAAUCAGGUGGUUUCAAAUUGCUACAAGUCCAGUGAUGUUUUCAACUUUAGAAGAUGGAAGAAUAGUGAGGGGACUUAGUGGGAUUCCAGAUGAAGGUCCUGUUUUGUUAGUUGGUUAUCAUAUGCUGAUGGGAUUAGAACUUGCUCCAAUUAUUUUAGAGUUUUUAAGGGAAAAAAAAGUUAUGGUUCGUGGUGUGGCCCACCCUGAGCUUUUUAAAAUGAAUUCUACAAAUGAGCUUCCGGAAUUUUCUUAUGUUGAUUUGAUGAAAGUUUUUGGUGCUUUACCUGUUACUCCAACCAAUCUCUUCAAAUUGUUUUCCUCAAAAUCAUUUGCAUUGCUCUACCCUGGUGGUGCACGUGAGGCUCUUCAUCGUAAGGUUAGUUGACUUUUUGUUGACCUUUUAAUGGUUAAGCACUUAAUCUGGAUAGUUAUAUUAUACAUGGUUGUUUCUUUUUUACUUCAUUUGGAUAGAAUGGCCUUUACUUGUUUGUCCUUUUUUCCUUAUGACUCCUCUCAAUUGAUGAAUAUUGUUUGUUGGAAUGUAAGGGUAAAAUGGUCAUUUAGUAGAGUUAAGAUGUUUUUAUUUGGCCUAGAAAAGAAACACAUAUUAUGUAUACAACACUUUAUCCAGAUAAACAUCCUUACCGGUUCAGCCACUUUACCCUUGAAAGGGUAAAAUGGUCGUUUAGUCUCGUUAAGAUGGUUUAUUCGGUGCAAAAUAGAAACACAUAUUAUAUAUACAACACUUUAUCCAGACAAACAUCAUUACCGGUUCAGCCGCUUUACCCAUUAAAGGGUAAAAUGGUCAUUUUGUCUUGUUCAGAUGGUUUAUUCGGUCUAGAAAAUUGUUUUUUGGGAUGUAAGGGUAAAAUGGUCAUUUAGUCUCUUUAUUCGGUGAUUUCAGUCUAGAAAAGAAACAAACAUUAUGUACAAAACUCUUUAUUACCCGUUCAUCUACUUUACCCAUGCAAGGGUAAAAUGGUCAUUUGGUCUCAUUCAGAUGGUUUAUUUCAUCUAGAAAUUCUUUUUGUUCGAAUGUUAGGGUAAAAUGGUCAUUUGGUCUCAUUAAGAUGGUUUAUUCAGUCUAGAAAAGAUACAAAUAUUAUGUAUACAACACUUUAUCUGGACAGACAUCAUUACCGAUUCAGCUGCUUUACCCAUGCAAGGGUAAAAUGGUCAUUUAGUUUUCAUUCAGAUGGUUUAUUCAGUCUAGAAAAGAAACAAAUAUUAUGUAUACAAAGACAUCAUUUACCGAUUUCAGCUGCUUUACUAAAUCAUUCAGAUGGUUUGAGUCUAUAAAUAUGUUUGUUGGAAUGUAAGGGGUAAAAUAGUCAUUUACAAUGUUUAAUGACUCGUGGCAGGGUGAGGAAUACAAGUUGUUUUGGCCUGAUGAACCCGAAUUUGUAAGAAUGGCAGCAAAGUUCGGGGCUACAAUCAUACCAUUUGGAAGUGUUGGAGAAGAUGACAUCACUGAGGUAACCUAUAAAUAUACAUGUGUUUCUUUUUCACUUAAUGCAUAAAGAACUUAAUAGGGAAAGUCAGAUAAACAGACAUUAAUACUUUGACUUCUUUUUUUAGUUGGUUCUUGACUAUGAUGACAUGAUGAAAAUCCCUAUCCUAAACAAUUACAUAAAAAAAUCAAACGAAGAGGCUAUCAAUGUAAGGUAAAAUUCACUUCUCCUUUGAUCCUCUCUAGAUUGCUUUCAAAUAUAAAAACAAAAAAGCCUUUUGAUCUAAAAAGUCAAAUGUACAAUGUUUUGGUCAACUAGGGCUGAAAUGGAUGGAGAAGUUGGUAAUCAGGACUUAUUCCUUCCAGGCCUUGUACCAAAGGUACCUGGUCGCUUCUACUAUUUAUUUGGGAAGCCAAUACAAACAAAGGGAAAAGAAAAGAUGUUGAAAGAUAGAGAAAAUGCAAAAGAGUUGUAUAUGGAGAUAAAGUCUGAAGUGGAAAAGAGUAUGGCUUAUUUGAUUAAGAAGAGAGAGGAGGAUCCUUAUCGUGGGAUUGUUAAUAGACUUGUAAAUCAACCGAUUUUAACCCCCGUGCAUCAAGUUCCCACAUUUGAGCCUUGAAAAUGUAUAUAUAUAUUUUAAUUAUUAAGUUAAUGAUAUACCAUCUUCCAUAUACAUGAGUUAUGUGUACAUAUUGACAUGAUUUUUAGUAUUAUGUAAUCUUGUAUACAAGUAUGUGUUAUUAUUUUCCUUGUUUAUUUGUUAUAUAUGAAAGAAAUUGAUUUUUUUUUUAAUAAUGUUAUUGGUAAGUGUUCUUAAUGGCGGGAUUUAAAGCAAUAGAUAUGGAGGGUCUAGGAUGGAAUAACAUACAAACCACAGGGGUGUUUUGGUAAUUCAAGCUAGAAAGGUACUAGAUAUUUUGAAGAAUUAUGGCUUUGGAUCAUUAGAUGGUUGUACGAUUUCAAAUUUGUUUUUGCUUUAAAAGGGGUUAUUUUUUAGGAAAAGACAAAAGAGAAACAAAAGAUAGAAGGCUAAAUUUCAUUUGAUGGGGUUAUCUUUUUAACAUGUGCAAAAGUAACCUCUAUAUUAUUACAUAAUAUAUGAGAAAAAGACAAAUAAGUCUAUUUUUAUUUAUUAUUUUUUUAAGAUUAAAUAAAAAAUUAGGCAUUAUACCCAAAUAGCUAUUUAUUUAUUUAUUUAUUUUUUUUGCAGAUAAGACACGCAAAAAUCUCCUCCCAUCCGCGACAAUCUAUUUUUUUUCUAAUAAAAUAUUAUUUUUGGUACAAAACAUGUCUAAUAAAAUAUUAUAUAUGGGCUGCGGAGAAGUUUUUAUGGACUUCGAAAAUCACACAAUGAGACGAAAUUACGGGUCUAUUAUGGACCCUUUAUUUAAGGUAAAAAAAUUAUUUUCACAUUUUUUACUUUUGAUUUUCGCAAACCAUAAAUAAUUCUCUCUCAAAAACUCAUACAGGCUACACACAAAUAUUUGCAAAGAAAAAUGACACAAAACGACGACGUUCUACCUGAAACAGUACGCGUUGACGUUUUUCUACCUGAAAAUCUAUUUUUCCAUAUCUAUCAGGAAAAAAACACAUAUAAUCUAAUAUUUUCUUAGAAAAAGGUAAGAUUUCGCAGCUAGGAUCUGCAAGAAACUCAAAUCUGUUUUAGAAAAUGAUUAAUAACUAAUUUUUUAUUUGUUUUUAACAUUUUAUUUGUUAUCUUUAAUGUAGCAUGUGUACACAUUUAGUGGUCAGAUGAAUGCAAAUAAACUCUUUAACAAGGAAGAUAACUCGAGUUAUUUUGGUCCACCACGUAUGGAUGUUGGGUAGACCCACUCAUUGUUUACAGGGUAAUGUGAAUGUUAAAUUUUUUGCUUACUAACCAGAUUCAAAUUUGGCAGAUCAGAAAAUAAGGAAAUGACCAAUGUUGAAUCAAUGUUCGUGCCACGAUGCUUCCAGAGCAAACAUAUAACUCUUUGACAGUUAGUUAUUUGAAUUGAAUUGUCUUGACCAUAUUUUUCAGUGGUCGAGGAUUUAAUUCUUUGUAUAAUGGAUAUGCAUGAGGGAUUUUUUUUUUUCUUGUGGCCAAACACUUCUGUUGAGAUGCACAAAUAUUUAAAAAAAAUACAUAAGCAUGCAAAUCGUCAUCAGAAUAACGAAUCCACCCAACCAUUUAAGUACAUGUCUCUCGUUUUCUUUUUCCAUUCAAGGAAUGAUUUAAAUAAUAUAAACAAAGUUUUAGUUUUUUAUUUGAAAGUAAUUUACUUAUAAAUUUUGUUAGAUAUGGAUUCGAGAGAGUUCCAUGGGUGUCAUCAAGUAUUUACUACCCUAUGCGCGGUUGGAAGGCGAUUAAGAAGAUGAGUGGAUUUGUAUGUGAUUUAAUGUAAACGAUUUGCAUUAGAUGACCACUAUAUGCAUAAAUAAAUUAUGAUGACCAUUGAGAUUAAUUACCAAAUUAAGUCCUACAUGAGAAAAUAAAGACUGAUUUAGGGAUGAUUAGUUUAUAGGACCAUUGUGAUUAUAGUCCUUGUAUCAUUAGGAUUAGUGAAUAGACCAAUGGAUCUAAUCAACUCAGAAUCAGUGAAUAAUGACCAAUAUUUGUUGCAUUUUGUAUGAAUCAACCAUAAUGUUAGGGAGAAUCAUGUCUAAAUGUAAGUAUUCUUUAUCAUUUUUUUUUUCAGAAAUCUUGUUCUCUAGUUAGUUUUGUUGCUNUUUUAUUAAUUAUGAUUGACCACUAAUUAAGUAUCCUUUACUAAAUCAUUCAUGUUCCCCAAGUGUUCGACAAACCGGUCUCUUACCCUAACUAUAUUUUUUAUGUGAUUAGGUGCACUUGCCCAGUUGUGGUAUUUCUUAUUAUAAAUUUAAAACUAGUAAAAUCACAUCAAUUUCUAUUUAAAGUUCAUGAUUAGAAGUCUAUAUACCAUUUCCAUGAUGUUGGUGGCAAAGUUCGAUUGAUCUCCACCUUGUUAGUGAUGCAUGGGGUGGAGUUGUGAUACUCCCAACCAUUCCAUGUGGUCUUGGAGGUCAUGAUUAGAUCAUGAUUUUGUUGUUAUAACCUUCUUUAUAUAUAUAUANNNNNNNNNNNNNNNNNNNNNNNNNNNNNNNNNNNNNNNNNNNNNNNNNNNNNNNNNNNNNNNNNNNNNNNNNNNNNNNNNNNNNNNNNNNNNNNNNNNNNNNNNNNNNNNNNNNNNNNNNNNNNNNNNNNNNNNNNNNNNNNNNNNNNNNNNNNNNNNNNNNNNNNNNNNNNNNNNNNNNNNNNNNNNNNNNNNNNNNNNNNNNNNNNNNNNNNNNNNNNNNNNNNNNNNNNNNNNNNNNNNNNNNNNNNNNNNNNNNNNNNNNNNNNNNNNNNNNNNNNNNNNNNNNNNNNNNNNNNNNNNNNNNNNNNNNNNNNNNNNNNNNNNNNNNNNNNNNNNNNNNNNNNNNNNNNNNNNNNNNNNNNNNNNNNNNNNNNNNNNNNNNNNNNNNNNNNNNNNNNNNNNNNNNNNNNNNNNNNNNNNNNNNNNNNNNNNNNNNNNNNNNNNNNNNNNNNNNNNNNNNNNNNNNNNNNNNNNNNNNNNNNNNNNNNNNNUAUAUGCAUUUAUGCGUAUUGUUUGGAUGGAUCAUUUGGAUCCGAUCAAGUAAAUCCAAAAGGAUUUUAGUAUUUAAUAUGUUGAUCUAAAUAGUUCAAGCUAAAAUAAAUCAGAUCCGAACCAACCAAAUUAAUUGGAUUGGUUUUAUAAUUCAAUUUCUAGGAGAUAACUACAUUUCAAAGAAUAUAUAUAAACACUAUACAUCAAAUUGAGCUGGAUAAUAAAAUUAAAAAUAUAUUGGACAUAAUCGGGAAAGCAUAAAAGUAAUUGAACAUAAAAUUGAUGGCCCCAUCUUAAGAUUCAUUAGUUCAACAACAAAAAAUUGCUAUAAAAAACUAUAAAUUAAAAACUCAUCAAUGGACAUAAAAUCAUGGAUAGACACAAACCAACAUUCAACAAACAAUUUGGUUUUAUUCAAAAAUAGUUAAAAAUAAAUAGUUAAAACUACAAGUUUAGUUACAAAAGCAAUUUUAUGUUUGAAUAAACUAAAACAAUUUUAACCCACAAAUAUCAUUUUGCAAACAUGAAAAGAUUAAUACAACAUAGGAAGAAAAGAAUAUAACAUUUGGAGACUUUAGUUCCUCUUGGGAGGUUGGAAGUUUAUGAAGAAUGUAUAGUAGAAGUCCACUUUAGUUAUUUAGUUCCUUUCGAUCCUCGCUAGGAUCGGUCCCGUAGCCUAUCAACUCCGACUACCUCAAGAACUUAGCAACGUCCAUCCUGUAUUCCACGUCUCUAAUCUCAAAAAGUGCCUAUCCGACGAAACCCUCGUGAUCCCUCUUGAUGAAAUCAAGAUCAACGAAAACCUGAACUUCGUGGAAGAACCAAUCGAAAUCAUGGAUUGAGAGAUCAAACGUACGAAACAGAGCCGUAUCCCGAUAGUGAAGGUUCGCUGGAAUGCCAAGCGGGGACCCGAAUUCACUUGGGAGCGCGAAGACUCAAUGAAACAGAAAUAUCCGCAUCUCUUUCCAAAUCCAUGAUUUGUAUCUUCAUUCUAAAUUUCGGGACGAAAUUUCCUCAAACGGGGGGAUGAUGUGACAACCCGAAAUUUAUUCCGUCACUGUAACCCAUUUCCGUUAAUAAAAUUUAUUUUUAUUGAAAUUUUCCGUUAACUUUUGGGUUAGGCAAAUCAAUUAAUGUUUUUAUUUUAUUUUAUUAAGUGUCGAAACAAAAUAAAAACACGUGAAACACCCUCGAUAAUCCUUUAGAAAAUUUCUAGUUUACGACCAAGUCGGGUUACAACCAUUUAAUCAGGUACGACCAUAAACUCCGUUUAACGUCAGUAUUGGGUAGAUCCCCACCUGGCCACAAACUCAAACCCUAUAUAUGGGUUGAGUGGUCAUCUUUUGAAACCUUUUGCCCACCCUCAUAGCUUUCUCUCUAUACUCUCUCUCUACAACUCGAGUUUUGAUCCAAAAACGCCCCUUUCGAGCUCCAAAAUCGUAAGUGAUCUAUCCUAGCUUAUUGUUUAACUUGUUAAGCAUGCAAAUAUGUGUUUACAUCAUUCACAACUCUCAAAAACUUGUGUUUACGGUUGGGGAACACCUCCCAAAACCGUAAACUCCCAUAAGUGGGUUUUGAAGCCCCAAAACCCUUCCAAAUCCUUUCUAGUGCUUAGCUAUGACUUAGAAAUUUGCAUGCAUGAACUUAGAACCCCAAAAUCAUGUCUUUAUGGGUGUAAACAUGAGUUUACGGUCCAUGAACAUUCAUGAACCGUAAACACCUUUUUAAGGUGUCUAAAUGCCCUUAAACACCUCCAAAAGCUUGCAUAAGUGCCUANACCCCCUUCCUAUGCCUCUAAAAGCCACUAGAACCUUACAUACAUGAGUUUACGGCCGUAAACUCAUGUGUUUACGGCCGUAAACUCAUGUGUUUACGGCCGUAAACUCAUGUGUUUACGGCAAUAAACUCACCAAGGGUCCUUCAAGAACCAUAAACUCCAUUUCCAAGGUCAUUUCAAGUCCCGAUCACUUCCUAAGCCUUUGAUUCAACCUUAGAACCUUCCCUUGUGCAUUAUAAGACCAUUGGACACCAAAAAACACUCCACCCAUGAGUUUACGGCCGUAAACUCAUGGGGGAUAUGGUCUUUGGUCCGUAAACACCCCUAAGGGUUUACAUUCGAAGAGUAAACUCCUUAUCUAGGCCCUACACUCCUUAGAUGCAACCUGUACCACUUCCAACACUUGAGAUAAAGUGUUUUCAUGCAUCGGAGUGUAUUAUCUUACUUAAUUAAUGGUUCAAAGUCUAAUUAGAUACAAUUAUGUAUCUCCUCAUGUUACAUAGGAUCCUCGCGCGUGUUCAAGCCCUAAACUGACACUUAGCAUCCUACCCGACACAUUCUCGUCUGGUGAGUUCAUACCCCUAUACCUUUUUCCGUGNUUUUUUUUGGGGGGGGGGGGGGGGGAAUACAAGCAAAAGUACAAGGAUACUUGUACUCAAAACCUUUUAUUUCGUAUGAAACGUUUACAUGUUCAGCAUGCUUUUAACACAGGAAAUCGUAUUACCAACCGUUUAACUUGUAGAGUUUGUUUUCGAAACUAAAACAGAGAAACUCGUGAAACUCAUUAUAAAAUGAUAUAUUUUAUAUUUCACAAAGGAUUUCAUGCCAUUCAUAAAAUAGGAUUUUUCCGUAUUAUUACUUGUAAAUUCGUUAUUCUUAAGAUUAGAGCACGUCCUCAGUAACACUCCACGAAGAUACGCGAGUGGAGGACCGCCCCUAUAACCAGAAUCUCCUGGAGGGAGAACGUGACUUGACUGUAUAGAUCUAUACGGGACUGACUACCCCACACCUUGUUGCUAGCUACAGUGGGACCGACAGGUCUACAGGUGACAAAAGUCAUAAAUGAUACUGGCCUCGUUACGCGCCAUAUCCAGUUUAUCGUAUGGUUAUGGAACUCGCGACUUAGAUAAGAUGUUAGUCUUCUUCUUGUAACGAAAGAAUCUCUUAAGAUAUAAGUUAAUAACCCAAGUAUUAACUUAAAGAGAUAUGCAAGUAAAAUAUCAACCUUCUUUCAUGCAAAUGAUUAACACUUUAAGAAUGAAAGAAAUAGUAGAGAAAGGGAUAGAGAAAUUCGGAAUUUCACUAGUAAAAAAAUGAAAUGAAAAUGGUAUCUUAAACACUUUCAAGAAGACACAUUAUCCAUUGAUUAUUUGUCUUUUGACACCAUCUCACCAGUUAACAAAAAGGCUAAAAAGGUGGUAUGGCUUUAUGAUUAAACUAGUAAAUCUUUUAUCUCUUCCAAAUCAUGUAAAUCCACGACUUUUAUGUGGAGAAAGAGAAGCAAUGCUGCAACCAAAUAUCAUGAAGAAUAAAUAGUUUAAAACCCUUCCAAGUCAUGUAUAUCUCCCAUGUAAUAUCCUCUCUUUAUCAUACUUAAUCAUUGAGAAGAAAGCAUGCUUCCAAAGCAUGUUCCUCUUAAUAUAAUAAGUAUCCAAGUACAAAGAAACCAUUCCUUAUCCUUGACCAUGUUUUUUUUCUUUCAAAUUGGGGAGAAUGAAAGGCUUUCCAUCAUUCUUUUAUUUAUAAGUGAUGUUCAUUGAAUAUUGUUAGGUGUGUCAAACCCAACAAAUAAAGGGUACAAAUGACUCCUUAAACACUACUACUAUGUACUAAUAAUGUACUACAAGGUAAGUAGGGUCAAUCCACAGAGACACGGGACAAGUGUUUAUACCUUUUUUGCGGAAGGUACAAUAAUGUUCACAUAAAUGGGGGGGUUGGUAUGCAAUGAUUUAAACAAGUGGAUAAAGCAAUACGUAAAUGAUCAAUUAAAUGAAACAAAUUCAGGAUUUGUGAUAACUCCAACUCUAUGCAAGACAAUUUAACAAUGUGAUUCCAAUGAUGAAAUAAUAUCUACUCAAUUUCACCUAAGUUGGUACUUGAAAGUGUUAACAAGUUCUAACACUUCCCAUUCACCAAGUUGUCAAAUUCAAAACAAGCUCUUUGAAAAUAACCUAACCUUCUAAUUUAAGUCUAAACAAGCUCUUAGAUAGAAAUCAAAAGGUUGCAAUAAGAUUUAUGUGAAUGUUCCCAACAACACCCAAUACUCCUCACAAGCUUGGGAGUUUAAGAGUAUGUGAAUAAGAUUUACACUAAAUUCAUUCAAUGGAAAUCAAUUUAGUGUUUGUUACUUAGUCCAAUUCACAAAACAAUUACGGAUUUUGCAAUUAGAUAACUUGAAUGACCUAACCCUAAUUCAAAUGGCCAAUAAGAAUUACAAUUAGAAUCAAACAUUCAAUUGAAACAAAAUCAAAUUCACUAGGUAGGAAUUGGAAGUAAACAUCAAAUCACAUGAUUGAAAUCACAACUAAAAAGUCAAGACAUAAAGUUGGAGAAACUAGGGUUCUAGCCACUCAUGACUAGAACAAGAUCACAAAUCUAGAAAAUGAAAUUAAAGUUCUUACAAAAUGAAAUCAAAUGUUCCCAAGUGUUAAUCAACUCCAAAAUCCUCUAGAAAAUCGCCUUCUUUGCUCCCAAAAUCGACACCUUGGUAAAAAGUUGGUUCCCCCCUUUAAGAAUGGUGAAAAACUGCUUUAAAACCCGCAUUUACGUUUACACGGCCCGUGUAAAUUAACACUGUCAUUUACACGGCCCGCGUAAACGCAAAAAUAUACUGCGCAGAAAUCUACGUUUACACGGCCCGCGUAAACGCAAGGCUUCCAUUUACACGGCCGUGUAAACGUCUGUAAAGCCAAAAUCUUCGUUUCUUUGAUAUAUUGCUCCUCGGUGCUCCGCAAGUCCCGAAAUUUUGUCCGUAACUCUUAUUUACCUCCUCCAACAAUAUCCUACCUCCAAAAUUCCCUGAAAUAUCACAAAAGUAUUUGAAUGAAGUUGCCUCAUGAAAAAUCCCGAAAAACAUGCAAAAUGCAUGAGUUUAAGCCUAAAUGCAAUGUACUUUUAUGAAAUAAAGCUACAAAAUGGGUACAUGAAAUGCACCUAACAAAUCUCCCCAAGCUUAAACCUUUCUUGUCCUCAAGAAAGAACAAGAAAAUUUAAACUAGAGAAAAUAAAAUAGAAUAGAAGAAAAGAAAAUUAAAGUUAAAACUAUUUGAAACUUAAUGCAUGAAANUAUAUAUAUAUAUACAUAUAUAUAUACACACACAACUUAUAAAAAUCAUUCCUUAUGAUUUAUUUUGAUACUUAAUAUUUCCAUGAAAUAAAUAAUUUCCAAAUAAUUACAAGGGUUAUAUUUAUUUAUCAACGAUCAAAUUCUUAUAAAUAAUAUAUUUGCAUCAAGUUGUUAGUGUGACCCUUUAGGAUCAUAUAUUAUCUGUCUACAUCAUUCUAUAAUGACUCUUGGGCAUAUAGAUCUUUCAAUCUCCGACUUGCAUAAGACUCAUUCUAGAUUGAUAUAGACAUUGGUGAACGUUUGGUAACAUUUCACUGCCCCCAAUAAUAUAUGACUUGGUUCCAUUCUAUUAACAUCCAAUUCCUAAAAUCUCAAAGUCUCAACUGAUGUAUAAGGUAAGUUUAUCUUUUAUCCCUUUGUUACAGACAUCAUGUUGAACACGAGACUUGGAUCUCAAUCAAUCUCAUUUGGUGUUCAACUUUGGGUAACACGCGUUAGAUGUCAAACUCUCAGCACAUAAGAUGAACAAAUCCCAUCUUGACUACAUAAUCCUCUUUCAUUGUUCACAUCACACCUGACAAUGGCCUUUAUAAUUGCCUGGUUAAAGAUAAGCAUUUGACCACAUCAAAUCACAACAGUCCCUGUACUUAAGUCCCAUUAUAUAUCUUAGGUAUUAUGGAUACAAAGAUAGUACCUUAAUCAAGUAUCACUCAUGAUAGCAAUCCAUGAGGUGAUCUUGGUACAGGUCAUGUCCAAUACUAGUUCUCUGACAAGUACUUAUGAAUCUUGGUUACAAAACCUUGCCUACUUUCAUCGUGUGGAAGUCAACCAAUCCAGUUCAUGUUAGUCUUACUUCAUAAUUGCUCCCAUAAUUAUGACCGACUAUGAAAUUUUAGAAUAAUAAUAUUAUUAAUGGAUUAAACACGUUAAUAUAGAACACAACAAAUAUUGAUGUGAUGAUCAUAUCCCAAUAUAUCAAUGUAACACCCGAUUCAAGGUACUUUCAUUUUUGACCCUUGCUAUGUAAAUAUUUUGCAGAUUUUAUGUGCCUUGUUAGGCCACUAACCUUCUAAAUUUGGGCCAUUGUUAGGCUUUGGGUCUCCCUGGAUUUGGGCCAUGUAUGGGCUUUGGUCAUCAUUUAGGAUUUUGGUCCAUAUUGGGCUUUUGGAGCCAUUGGAUGGGGCCUCGGUUAUUGGGCCAAGUAAGGAAGGGAUAAAAUGGUCUUUUACCAUAGGAGUUGGUCAAAUGAAAUAGAUUCCUAUUUAUGGUUAUGACCCAAUUAUUAAUUGGGGUUUUAUUGAUUAUUUAGUGUGGGGACUUUCCAGAUCAACACUCCGCACAUUUAUCUGAUUUUCAACAGUUUGAGGUGAGUCUCCUCCCAGUGUUUAGCAGGUCGAAGUUACCAAUGCUGACCCAUGAUUUAUUAUGAUUAGGAUGCUAGUUGUCUGUGUGACUCUUGCAUGUGUAGUAUGUGAUAUGUAUACCGGGCGGGGUUUGAUGCCAGGUGGGGGUUGAUGUGCGUAUUAUAUGCUAUUUGUCUUAGUAAGUCUUGCAUGUGUUUUAUGUGUUUGUAUGAAUGCCGGGCGGGACCCGAUGCCAGGCGGGGCCUGAUGAAUGUGAUGAGGGGAGGCCCAUCUCAUGUUAUUGACAGAUAUGUUCCAUGCGGGGUCGAUACCGGGGAGGCCCGAUGGUUGUUGGGCAUGGCCCAUUGUAUGUUUGAUAUGUAUGGUAUGAGGUAUUUUGGGGAACUCACUAAGCUUCGUGCUUACGGUUUUCAGUUUAUUUUUCAGGCACUUCCGGAUCGAAGGGGAAGAGGUCAGGAUGAUCACAUCGCACACACCGUAUUGUUCCGCCUUUUAUUUGACUCUGAUGUAUUUGGAUGAUUAUUAACACACUCUGAUUUCAUUAUGGUUUUAUGAAAAUGUUUUGGAUUAUAGUUUUAUUAUUAUAAAAAUGAAAUUUUUGGUCUUAAAUUUUGGGACGUUACAAUCAAAACAAUAUAAUAAUUUUUUUCUUAAUGUUCCAAUAUCCAAAUACUAAAUCCAAAUAAAAAUCCUAUUUCUAGAAUCAUGAAGUCAUAUAGCUGAAGUGUGACCAUUCAUACUUAGCUUAAAUGGAGAACUUUAUUAAUGGGUCUGACUAAAUUUAAUUUAUGUGAAUUUUGUGAAUACUAUCAUCUCCAUAUUUGAAUUUAGCAUGUAUAAUAGAGAAAACAUAGAUCCAAGGUAUUUAGGGUUGCAUGUACACUUAGGAGUGUUAGAAUGCUCAAAACCCAACAGUGGUAUCAGAGCCUAGGCUUGUUUUCUUGUUAUACUUGCAAAAUUAGCUUAAAAAUCGAAUUUUAAUGCUGUAUGCUCAGCAGACUCGCCGAGUCCACUGAUGGACUCGCCGAGUCCAAGGCAAAAUGCAUCCAAUUCGCCGAGUUGGUUCGUGCACUCAACGAGUUGGACCCCCAGACAACAUUGAUUCGAUUGUUUUGGCUGGAAUUGGACUAGGAACAUUACCCUAAGAUGUUUUUGGACUUAUAAACUUGUUUUUGAUGUGGUAAUGUUCAUGCUAAUCCAAUUUCAAAGAUAAUUAUCAAUAGAUUCAUGUUUUGUAUUAGUUUAAGGUUUAGACUAAUUACAUGAAAAAGUUUGAUUUGAAUUAUCUUGUUCAUAUGAGUUGCUUAGAUUAAUAGAUAAGUUAAUUGAUUAUGUGUUUUCAAUCCAUUUUAAUCUAAGAGAUGAUUCUAAAAUGUGUUUGUGUAACUUGUCCUCAAGUUACAUGAAAGGUCACAUUUAAGUUUCAUAAAAAACUCAUAAAAGUUGACAAUGGUUACAAAAGUGAAGAGUCUUGUCCUCAAGUUAUGGAGGUUCAAGAGUCACUUCAUUAAGUAAUAAAAUGUGUAACCUUAAUUAAUUCCAUAAGUUACAAAAUAAAGAAAAGUUACAUUCUUUUAUUAGUUUAAAGUCUUCCAUAACUUGUCCUCAAGUUAUGGAACUUGAAGAGUNNNNNNNNNNNNNNNNNNNNNNNNNNNNNNNNNNNNNNNNNNNNNNNNNNNNNNNNNNNNNNNNNNNNNNNNNNNNNNNNNNNNNNNNNNNNNNNNNNNNNNNNNNNNNNNNNNNNNNNNNNNNNNNNNNNNNNNNNNNNNNNNNNNNNNNNNNNNNNNNNNNNNNNNNNNNNNNNNNNNNNNNNNNNNNNNNNNNNNNNNNNNNNNNNNNNNNNNNNNNNNNNNNNNNNNNNNNNNNNNNNNNNNNNNNNNNNNNNNNNNNNNNNNNNNNNNNNNNNNNNNNNNNNNNNNNNNNNNNNNNNNNNNNNNNNNNNNNNNNNNNNNNNNNNNNNNNNNNNNNNNNNNNNNNNNNNNNNNNNNNNNNNNNNNNNNNNNNNNNNNNNNNNNNNNNNNNNNNNNNNNNNNNNNNNNNNNNNNNNNNNNNNNNNNNNNNNNNNNNNNNNNNNNNNNNNNNNNNNNNNNNNNNNNNNNNNNNNNNNNNNNNNNNNNNNNNNNNNNNNNNNNNNNNNNNNNNNNNNNNNNNNNNNNNNNNNNNNNNNNNNNNNNNNNNNNNNNNNNNNNNNNNNNNNNNNNNNNNNNNNNNNNNNNNNNNNNNNNNNNNNNNNNNNNNNNNNNNNNNNNNNNNNNNNNNNNNNNNNNNNNNNNNNNNNNNNNNNNNNNNNNNNNNNNNNNNNNNNNNNNNNNNNNNNNNNNNNNNNNNNNNNNNNNNNNNNNNNNNNNNNNNNNNNNNNNNNNNNNNNNNNNNNNNNNNNNNNNNNNNNNNNNNNNNNNNNNNNNNNNNNNNNNNNNNNNNNNNNNNNNNNNNNNNNNNNNNNNNNNNNNNNNNNNNNNNNNNNNNNNNNNNNNNNNNNNNNNNNNAUCAACUAUCUUGAAUAUCUCCCAAAAGAUGUCUGGUUUAGACAUUUAUGAUCUUCCCAAAUCUCUUGAAACAAGCUUUCCUAAAUGAAGAUGAUGUCCCAUGGAAAUCAUACUUCUUUCACCUCCUCCAAUUAUUCUCCCUAACCCACAAGUUCCUGAAAAGUUUAAGGUCACUCAAGCCCUAUUGACAAGCAAAGGUCUAUGUGUGAUCACAUCUUGGAGAUGUAGUCACAUAUUGACAAGCCGAGAGAGUUGGGUGUCAAAGUCUUGAGAAAGUUGGUGGCUCAACUACUUUCUAAGUCACAUAGUGAGUUCCUUUGGGACUCCUAUGAAACAGACUAUGACAAGACCCUUAAUGAUCUUAUCUAUUUGCUAAGAUCAACUUCCUAAAACUUUAUGGACAUUGAUAAUGAUGACAUUGGAUAUCCAGUAAAGCUCUCUCUUCCCAACGGAAAGGGAUCGACCAUAGUCAACUCGGUUGACCAAAUGGUAAAGAGAAAGGAAAGUCUGUGAUAGUCCAAUACACCAUUCCCAGAGAGUCCAUAUGGUUCUCUUUCCAAAGGAAGAGGCAUUGGUUGCAAAGCUGCCUAUUUACCUGAAAGAUCAUAAGGUUGAUCAAGUCAAGAAGUUUGAAUCUACUUCAGGUAAAGUACUGUCUAACNCUAACUCUGCUAAGUUUCUAUUAUGAGAUUCUUGAUACAUGAUGUGACUGGGUCACAUGUUGAUGUUUUAAGAAUCAAAGAAAAAUGAAGAAACUUAGAGAAAGAAUAUGCUGAAUCUGAUCGCGUAGAUGGAUUUCUAUCGCGUAGUUUGAAGAUCGGAUUCUUGAGCUACUUCUUAGGAGUUAUGAUAUAUUGAUUAGGAAUAGAUAACAACAAAGUUUUCAUGUGUUUUUUCACUGUAAGGAUAGUUUUACGCAAAGUUUUUAAAUAAAAGGAAAAUUUUUGAUUUUAUUUAAAAUAUCCUUACAAUGGCGUUUGUGGAAAAUUGUUUCUUAUAAGAUUCCAAUGAUAGCAAUAUUGGAAAGUUAAUUUGUUUCUUUCAUUUGUGGUAAUGUCUAAAUUUACCAAAUAAGGAAAGAUUCUCGUCACCCAAGGUUUCAGUUGGAUCGAGACUUGGAAUCAUGCAAGUUGUUUAGCAUGAUGGAUGAGAACUUUCAAGCAUUGGAAAAAUUAAGACUAACUACUUGUUUACAUGGAUGUGUGAGUCAAGUAAAGGACUAAGGGAUCGAGUACACAUUCUUGUGCACUGGCCAAUAUCCACCACAAAAGAUGGAUAAGACUAUUCAUCAUGGUUUACUAAGUCUAGUAAAUAUGGUUAUACUUACAUGCCUAAGUAUAAUUCUGAAGCAUUGGAAAAAUUUCGAUGUAUGGCAGAACGAAUGAGAAGAAUCAAAUUAGGCAGAAGGAUAAAAGUUUCUCAAAUCUGAAAAGAUGGGAGAGUACUUUAGUAUCAUGUUGUAUAAUAAUCUUAAUGAUUAAGAUACCUUAUCACAAUUCAUCCUCUAAGUGCAUUCUGAUAGUUAAGAAGAGGGGUUAUGAAUUGAUGAAGUGGUUAAAUCAAGAAGAUGAUUCAUACUUCGUUCCAAAAACAAUUCUUAGAGUUAUACUCUAAGAUUGUAACUUUAGUGAUAUGUCUUAAAGAAGGUUUAAAACACUUGUCAAAUGUAAGAGUACAAGUUUUCUACUCUUGUACAUUUCAAAUUGGUAAGUUGUGAUGUUUUGGAUAAAACAAAGACCAACUAAGGCCAAUUGUGUAAAGUGUUUGUCUUGAUUAGAAUCCACACUAUCUCUUGAAUAUUUGACAAGAGAGUCUUAUAUGUCAUGAGGACAGUGGGAGUCUUAAAGGUCUUGAAAGUCUCAAGAACUAAUCAAGAAUAAAACCUGAAGUUCUUCACUAGCACACGACUUGAGGUUUAUAACCUAUCGUGUUGACAUAUUCUGUGCCCAUUCCAGUUAAAGUUGGCUUUGCAUAUGAGUUCUUAGAGUUCUCAAUUGGUUGCACAACAACUUGGAAGCAAUGGCAGGCCCUUGAGCUGCCAGGUGGCAAGAAAUUAAGAUUGAGUUCAGUCCAUAUGAGUUUGGAUUUGUCAUUAUCCUUGUCUUGUGACUAUGGUUUUGACAAUUCACAUGGAUAAGAACACAUACACCAUUAAAUCUAAGUGUCAUAAGGUUUCUCUCCGAUUCAUGAAAAUGAUGGUGAGGAAACACUUUCACUAAGUAGAUUUUAGCUAGAUAGCAAUUGUGAUAUUUGCAUUCUCAAAGUCGUUAGUGGAGCGUGUGUGGUUAACCGGCACACUAACCUGGACUUGUGAGAAGUGGCAAAAAGGUCUAACCAUUAUGAUUACGGCAUCCCUCUUCAUAAUUGUUUAGACACACAAGUGUGCUAUCUAAGGGAAGGUGUAUGAUUUUGAUAAAGUUUUAUCAAAACAAUCUAGUAUCAGAAAUCUGAACUUUGGUAAGAAAGUCAGCUGAUUUCUGAGUACAUGUCAAAGCUAGUGGGAGCAUAAGUGUUAUGCUAAUAAUCAUCAUGUUAGUGGGAGCAUGAUAAUUAUGAUAAGUAUUGCAAGUUAGCAAUGUUAAUUAUAGAAAACAAAAGUUUCAAUUGGGAAAAAGUUGUUUUGCUAUAAUUAAGGGAGAGGAAAUUAUGCUUCAUCUCAAAUCUAUAAGCUUAGAUCGUGAGGUUUUAAUCAUUUAGUCAAGGAUAUAUAUGAAUUUCAUGUUGGAAUGGCUCAACAUAAGGAAAUUCUGUAUAUGGGUCCAUUAUUUGCGUUCUAAAAUUCGAUUAUGAUUACGGCAUCCCUUUUCAUAAUCUGAAUUAUGAGAACUUGGCAAAUUGAAAUGGAAAUAUUAUAGCAAAAGACUGGUUUAGUCUUUAUGUGAGACAUCAUGAAUCGUGUCCCAUAUGCUUCGGAUAUAGGAUCGAUUACAUGUGCUAUAUUCAUCCGUUCUAAAAUUUUCCAAAUGCCUGGGGCAUUAAGAAGGGAAAAGGUUUAGAACUGGAUAUGACUAAAAGGAUUAAACAAUUGUCGAGGACAAUCUAAGGUUUACCAAAGAUUGGUUGCUCAAGGACAAUUGGAAGUAUAGUGAUAAUUCUGGAAGGACCAUAUUGACAUAAUCUGUAAGGAGGCAACUCUUGUUCAGAAGUGAUAGUCAAAAUGGAAUCUGGAAAUGUUUCAAAGUUAGAAUUUUCAAUCUGUGUAAGAUUAAGGAAACUUAAUGCAAGAAGGAUAUUUCCAAGGAGUUGAUCUCCUUUGGAAUACUCUGUAAUGAUUGUUGCCAAGUCUUUGUGACUUUGUGCAUAAUCAUUACAAGAGGAUCAAUGCAUAUAAGUUUAGAAUCUAACAGAUUUCAGUAAAUGGCAUGAAUUUGGAAUUCUUGCAUUUGCAGUAAGGAUUUGGGAGUGUGAAAAGAGAAUCAUUGAAGUUAUGUUCAAUUGAUCUAGUUCACAAAGUAAAGAUCAUAGACAAACAUAGUAUGCAUACUUGGUGUGUGGCAUGACUAGUGUUUAAGAAAACAUAGUGUACAUGCUUGGAGCAUGGGACAACUAUUGUUUUAAAUUCAAGAAUAAAGUUGAUAGCUGAAACAGUAUACAAUGAAUAAUGUGUAAUCAUAUGGUGAUAAAUAAAAGGUGUUUUAUUUAUGUUCAAAGGGUUGAUACCAUAUUGGAUUCAAUUAUUAUUGUGUUUCAUUUUGCAUGUUUUGACUUCCCGAAUAAACUGGGUUAUUCUUCCGGAAUGACUAAGUUAUUCAAACCAUCCACAGUCGGUCAUAUGUUGGAAGUAGAUAUGAAUUAAGACUGUCAUGGGUUGGCUUGUAGAGGUCUAAGGUGUUGGACAAAGGGCUACAACACUCAUGAGUGCUCAUAAGUUCUGAGUAUUGGAUUCAACCCGCGCUCAUUGGAAUCACUUCAUGGAUUUUAUCACGAGUGAUCAUGAGACGAUAAUAUCUUAUAUUCUUCAAACCUAGAGAUAUGAGUUGUUACUAUGAGUUGAUAGUACAUUGAUUGCACGAAAACGCAUUUGGUAACUCGGUGCUAUAAAACGUGCCUUUGUGUAUGAUUCAACAAGUAGUAGAACAAGCCAUAUGAGUCGAAGUUUAUCCAUUCCUUUUACCUUCGGGAUAAAAGCGAUAUCUGUGGGCCCCUCGAUGAUUUGAUGAUGACAAAUGGAAGUGCUCGGCCGGGCCAGGACUGAUUUGAUUUGUUCAAUUAGUCAGUCGUCAUAAAUCGGAAAUCGGGAAACAACAAAUGGACAGAGAGAAUGAUUAUAAUCCAUGUCUCAGUCCAUAUGAUAUCUAGAAUGGAGGAAUAUAUGAUCCCUUAUCUAAUGGACAAGUCAUUGACAAAGGUCAGAGUUCAUCGACAAGGUCAGAAUUCGACAGAAGCUUUUGAGAGCUACGAUUUCCAGUCGGUUCUUGAAGUCAUAUGCAAUAAUAGUUUUAGACUUAUCCAAGUGGGAGACUGUUGGAUUAAUGUCUAAGUCCAUAACUAUAAUUGGUAAGACUUGACCCGACCCAGCAUGGUCCAUUUGGGUUGCAUGACAUCAUGCAUUUAGAUAGACUACAAUGAGAGAAAUAACACUUAAGGUUUGUUAAUAUAUUAUAAGUUCUAAUAUAUUAAUAAGAUUAUUUAAUUAGUAUUGAUCAAGAAUUAAUCUAGGAUUAAUUAAGUGAUCAAAAGAAGACUAAUUAAAUAUAUGGGUUGAUUGUGUAAAUCAUCCAUACUUGUAUAGUGGGCUAAUGCUCCAUGGAUUAUCAAGUUGGGCUAAAACCCAUAGGAUGCUCCAUGGUGUAUUUGAACCCAUAGAUCCAAGGAAACUGAAAGCCAUGACAAUUAGAGUUUACCCUAAUUGUGUAACUAUAUAAUGAUCUUAUUCUUGGAGAAAAUCGGCCACUAUGUGUGAUAGAAAGGGCUAGCCGAUUUUAUGAAGUGUUCCAAUUUCUCUCAAGUCAUUCCAUUUGUAUUUGAUGUUGUGUGAGCCAUUUGAGGUGUCAUACUUGGGGCACUAGGCACUCAAGCUUCAUGAAGACUUUCUACAUCAAAGAGGUAUGUAAUUCUAACUUGAUAUAUUCAUAUGAAUCAAUGUUAUUAUGCUAGUUAGGAUGAAUACCUUGGAAAGUUCAUAUUUGCAUGUAUAAUAGAGAAUACAUAGAUCCAAGGUAUUUAGGGUUGCAUGUACACUUAGGAGUGUUAGAAUGCUCAAAACCCAACAUAAGUAUGUCUUGGUCAUACAAGAUUAUGAAUACCACUAUCGCUCCCACUAGUUUUUAGUAAACAUAGUUGUUAUCUUCAUUUUGAUCUAAAAGCAUACCUUGUAUUUUCAUAUUAAAAUGCCGAUUCCGACCUUGAUAUGUAUUAUUUAUAUCCACAAAUGGAUCUUAAGGCAUACACAUUUUGUUAGGAUAACUUAAAUUAAGAGAACCUACAGGCUAAGCUAUAUAGACAUCUCCAAAUAGGUCUCUAUUAAAGCGUUUUUUCUUGAAAUAUAUUAGCCAUAUCUCAUAUUAAGAAUAUGUAGUUAUGGUAAAUAAUAUUCUUAUUGAUCUAAUCAUAGCUAAUUGAUAAAAUAUUUGAUCAUAUCAUUGACAUGAUUAUGAUUAAAUCCUUUAACAAGUCUUACUAAACGUGUAUAGAUGACAUGUAAUGUAUCAUUUCUAAAAAAAUUACUUACUCCUUCUAGCCUUGCUAUAGGGAGGAAGAUUAAUCAAGCCCAUGCUCGAUCAUAAGACAUGGAUUAUAUCUCAGUGUUCAUGACUUAAAGUCAAUUAUCAGAUUCAAGAUCUGAUAUAAUAUUUUGGUAGUUGAUGAAUUUGUCAGAAACCAUCAAGAAGAACUCAUCAAUGAGAUAUCCCAUAUUUCUCAUGUUAUAGAUGAUUCCUACAUUGAUGAAGAGUGCUUAGAUCCUCCGUCAUCUUAUUCAACUCUAAAAAAAUAAAAUAAAAGCACAUGAUUAAGUUGUGAAUUAAAGUUUACAAAAAUUAAAUGUUAAAAUUUGAUAUAAUACAUACAUUCAACAAGUUCUUCAUUUUCAAGUAUCUAUUCUUCAUAAUUUAAAAUAUUAUGGGAUUUUUCAGAUUCAAUCUUGGGUCCAUAUAAGAGAGCUUGGACCAUUUUAGGGCUAAAAGAAUCAAGAACUCAACCUCAACGUCAAAUUAAUGAUAUGGUACAAUAUAUCUCACGUGGAUAUGUUUUCCCUUCGGUAUAUCACUGCCCCAUUGUUCCAUUCUUUCUUUCAUGUAAGCUACAGUCGUGUCAUUAGAGCUUGCAUUGUCAAACAAUGAUAGUUAAAAAUGUAUCAAUCCCCUAAUCCAACAAGCAUUAUUCAAUCUUCUAUCCAAUUUGACUCCCUUUGUGACUCAAUAUGGGACAAGAUUCAAAACCUUCUUGCAUAAAUUCCAUUCAUGAUCAACAAAAUGUGCUUUAAGACGCAUGUAGUUCACUCUGUAUAAUGAAAUCCAAGUAUAGUGGUGAGAUGUAUGUCGACCAUUCCUAGCAAACCAUUGUUGUAAUUUAUUUCUUUCAUCUAGGUAUAUUCGAAAGGAAAUUGAAAUCUAGGGUAAGCAAUUGACAUGAAAUGUCUAAAACCCCCUUUCUAAACAAAUAAGAAUGAUUGCUCGUCCAUGAUUCACAUGUGCCGUAUCUCUAAUAUGAAAGUGAACAUUCUCAUUCUUUUCCACUAAUUGUAUUAGAGUGGAAUUUUAAUAAAGUAUGUUGGGCAGCAUGAUCGAGUUUAUUGGGACAUGCCUUAGAAUGCUUAAGAAAACUAGAGGUUCCAUUCACUACUAGAAAAAUAGCAUUUUACGGCGCGCAAUGCGUGUCGUAAAAUGCUCAGACGACGCACAAAUGCGUGUCAAGGAAGGCCUUGCCAUAAUGAGAAACGACACGCUUUUGCGCGUCGUCUAUUUACGACGCGCAAUUAUGACACACAUUUACGACACGCAUUGCAUGUCAAGGAAGGCCCUGUCAUAAAGGAAGAUGAGACGCAUUUGCGUGUCAUAACCUUACGACGCGCGUUUAGGACACACAUUGCGUAUCAUUAAAGCCCCUGUCAUAAAAGAAGAUGACACACAUUUGCAUGUCAUAAACUUCAACAAACAUUUACGAUAUACAUUUACGACACGUCUUUUCGAUACUCAUUUACGCAUAGUACAAAAAUAUGGAAACAAAUAUAUACCAAAACAAUCAAUUUCAUCCAAUAAAAUCAUGUCAAAAAAUUGUAAUACAUUGGUAUUAAGGGGAUCUGAUUGUACAUUGCUAUUAAGAGGUUUUCCCUAACUAUAUAACCUAUUUGUAUAACCAAGUCCAAAUGAAAGUAUCCCCGGCCUUCUUCCAACUGUGUUAGAUUCCAGACGAAUUAACCUAUAUAUUAAUAAAAAAAUAACAUUAACAUAUAGCAAUAAAUAAUAAUAAUAGAUAUAAGAUAAGUAAGUAGCCUUACCCUGUUGGUUGUACUGCUUUAACUUGGCCAUAAUUGUAUUGCAUUGUUGCCUCUAAAGUAGAUUCUGCCAUUACAACUCUCUUUUCCAUUUGAGCAAGAGUAUACACAGCUUCUUCAUACUUCCUCUACACAUAACAUAUAUAUAAGAAAAUCAUCUACUUUUCAUUCAUUUGAUUUCCUUUGUUCUAGAAGAGUAAAUUAAUACUCCAUUUCUUUAUAGACAAGAGUAGAAAGGAUUGAGUACAUCGGAUCUGUCCAAAAAGAUUGAUAAUCAAGAGGUGGGAGAACGAGAGUGACGUUCAUUAUCUUGGCGAUAGCCACCAUGUCACAUAUCUGACGUUAUAAAUAAGAUUGGUUUUUAUUAAAAGUAGAUAUCUGAGAUAUAUAAUAAUAAUUAAUAUUGGUUUAACCCUUACUAAAAAUAGAAAAAUUGUAACAUGUAAGAAUUCUAAAAAUAAUAAAUUUGGAGGGAUAAGAACUCACCCAUGUCCUCAUUUGGUUCAAUCCGCCGUUGGCAUGAAAGAGAAAAUAUCCGUUUGUUAUGGAGCUGCUCUCUAAAAAGUAAAAUAAAAAAAUCAGAAUAUCUUUCCAGAAAUUAAUAAAUAAUUUUCAAUGAACAUAAAUAUAAGUUUAUCUAUUCUAUUUGAUUUUAGUCAAAUGUUAAUAUACAAAAUUAUAAUUUGUUAACAGCUGAAAAGCCUAAAAUGAUCGUGACUUAUUGCUUUGAUUCCGAGGUCUAGCAAUGCAUUAAUGAUAGCGACUGUUGUUUGAUUUCAUCCAGAUUUUUGAGGCCUAAGGAAACAAAAUAAGUUGUUACAAUUUAUAAAUUAUUUUAUCAAGUCAUUAAACUAUAAGAUUAAAUAAGAUCUAAAUAACAACACUAACAAGUAUUUAUGAGGUUAUUAAAUGGCUGCCAUACUAUUUGUUAUUUGACUGCUCGGUCCUUGAUUUAUUUAGACUUAAAAGUAGAAACUGGUAUGGAACGAGGGUAAAACGGUACUUUAAGUAAACAAGCUUACAGUAAAGGGACUUCUCAUACAACCUUUCGGGCAUGGAAGAUGUUGAAGAAACAAUGUCUGCUAAAGCUCUCCGAGCGAUUAUAUCGCAUUUAUAGUCCCUCAAAAUCAACAAUAAGAGAGAUCAAAAAACUACUGUAAGUAACUUGAGUUUGCUGCACAAUGCAACUGAAUCAAGGAUAUUUUAUAUAUGAGAAAAACAUGAAAAAAGUAUAAGUUGAUGAAAGAGACAAGGGCAAAAUGGUCAUUUUGACAAAUUCGACAACUAGGCUGUUAAAAUUGACAAUCCAAGAACAUAAAAAAGGCUUUAUCAAAUUGCAGCUUGCAUCACUCUCGAGACUACACUCUAUUUCUUUCUUUUUCACAUGGGAAAGAGAUGCACUAGGACUAAUUUUUUUUAAAUGUUGCAUUAGUCUAUUUCAGAUUCAACCACAACCACCUAAUGGUUGUGGGUGGUGGUAGAGAAACACGUAGGUAGCCUAGGCUGCCGGCCACGACGGUAGGUGGUGCUUAAUUGACGUAAAAAACAAAAAAGAAGGAGAAGAAAAGAACAAGAAUCGAUACCUUAGGCUGGAGAAAAGUUUGUCUUGAGGUCCUCUUCCGUCUUCUCCCUCGACGGUGACUCAAAAAUCCGACAGCCCUACACAAAAACUUGAACAACUCCCUCUCUAGCCACUAAGAUGAACGAACGAAAGAUUAGGGUUAUUUUGGGAUGCUAAGGGUUUGAGAAAUCGGCCCUAACAUAAGAGCCCAAGGGGAUCUCUACAUCAAAAUGAGGCUUUCAUCUCAAGGGUACCUCACGUCAACAUGUGGCUGCCAAUUAAGGUUUUUUUUUGUUUUUUUUUUUUUUUUUUUUUUUUUUUNACUAAAUAUAUGAGAAAUCGGCCCUAACAUAGGAGCCCAAGGGGAUAUCUACAUCAAAAUGAGGCUUUCAUCUCAAGGGUACCUGACGUCAACAUGUGGCUGCCAAUUAGGGUUUUUUUUUCAUGUAGAGGACGUAGUUGGAGGUUUUCUUGCAGAUUAAAGCCCGAGUUGUGUUGGACGAACGGAGAAGGGUUGGAGGUGCUUGAUGUAGGUAAAGAUGAAGGCCCUAGGGUUUCUUUCUAGCUAAUUCAAAGAUUAGCAUCGGUGGAAGAAGGUGGAGGCAUCAGUAGAGGGAACAAGGGAGACUGAGAGAGGAGCAAAUAGGUUUUGGGGAGGGGGGGGGUGUUUAAUUUUUGGGAUGCCAUUUCCCCCUGACUAAAAACGCGCGUUUCAUUAAAAAAAAAAUUAUAAAACAACAUGUUUAGAUGACAAACAUUUUAUAAUAAGUGCCCUCCGUGUUUUUUUUGUGAGACACUGAUUUUAGGGCACGCAAAAAUGCGCGUCCUAAAUUCUUCAACUUUCUAAAGAUCUAACAUUAUUUUUAGGGCACGCCUUUUGUGUAUCACUAAUCGGUGCGUGUCAUAAAAAGCGCAUCAUUAAAGGUCUGUUUUCUAGUAGUGAUUGGUUGUACUAUCACAAGAAAAAGUUUUAUUAGGACAAAACUUACAUCUCGCUUGUGUGAAAACCAUAUUUUUCAGUAUACUUAACAAAUAAUCCCAACCACUUGAUCUUUGUUUCAUUCGCUUUCUUUUUAUUCUAUCUUUCCAUGGUUUAUCUGGACUUCUUGUUGCAUAUCUCUGAUUGAACUUGGUUCUUGAUUCAUUUUGGUUAAUAUAUAUGCAUAAAUAAAUUAAAAAAAACAAAAUUAUGUCAAACGUUAGCUUAUAUAAUCUUACUUACUAAUCAAUGUUCAUAGCACGAAAUUGCAAAACACACGAACAUAAUAUACACGACUGAAUCAAUCGACAACCAAAGGAAGCGCCGAAUUAAUCAAUGAUUCAAAAUUUCAUAUGCUUUUUGGAGUUGUUUUGAUAGACAUAAGGUAAGCGACGUUUGAUUUCCUUUGGCAUUUGAUUUUUUUCCAAUUAAUUGUUAAAAGGUUUACAUUAAGGGGUUUGAUAUUUUAUUGCAUUAUGCAUGAUUUAAAAAAAAUAAGCGAAGUCCAUUAAUUACUAUAUAGUAUUAAAGAUAUAACUUACAAAUAAUAAAUUUAAAGAUUUAUAUUAAAUAUAAAUAAUAUAAAUAAAUAAAUAUCAAAGUUUUAUUCGGGUUUUUUUUGGACUAAUUGGUUUUUUAACAUAUCCAAAACCAAUUUAACAUAUGAAUUUGGUUUUACUCGAAUCAAUCCAAAAUUACAAAUAUACUAACCAAAUAGUCUAAUAAAAAAUAAUUCACUUUUUUAUGAUAGUAGUUAAGUGUCCUAUUUCAAAAUCAAUCAAGCAUACACUUAGGUACGCCAAAUUUAAACUGCAUUAAGACUAACAUUAAAGGACGAAAUACAUAUUCUCCGCUGUACUUGCGCAUCAUUCCCUUUCUAGGAUUCUAUCUCUACCACUUUCCUUGGUGUUAACAAUUGUUGCAUGUGGAAGCUUUCUGUUUGGUACUCGUACACCCACUCACCUUCUGCUUUCUAUUUUUGUUCAAAAACCUCACGUUACGUUUCGUUGUCCUUGUAUGGGUUUUCACCAUUCGCUUGAUACAAAACUGGUAACUGUUUUUGAGCCAUUCUUGCUGAAGCUACAACCCUCAAUAUUUAAUGCAAACUGCAAGUGGUUAUAGCAAAUUGUGAUACAAGAAACCAAAUUUGAAUCUGGUCUAAAGACAUGUUUGUAGAAGCUACAACUUCAGUUGUGAAUUUGUCACCAUGUUUUGCUUUGAAAUCAGGUUAUUACAAGAAUCCAUCCUCCCGAGUUUCAGUUAAGUGCACUAAAACAGCAUCAGAUUCAUCUCUUGAGAAGUCUGCAAAUUUAGUUAAGGGAGUUUCUUUAAAUAAGAGAGUUGGGUCUUUGAAUGAUGUUGAAAGGAGGGAGAUACUUGGUUCAAAUGUUAUUGAUGACAAGAGUAGAUGGAAAGAAGAAAAGCUUGAACCUUUGUGGGAUGAUGGAUAUGGAACUCAGAGUGUGAAAGAUUACCUUGAUUUAGCCAAAGACAUCAUUAAACCUGAUGGCGGACCUCCCAGGUGGUUUUGCCCAGUGGUAGCAGAUGGGAAUGAAUGUCCUUUACCCAAUUCACCCGUUCUUCUGUUUUUG